GCCUCGGGCCCCACUGCAGCCAGGCCAAGAGGUAUAGAAAUUAAAUAUUAACCAUAUAUUCAAUGAAAUUGCUCAAGGUCACAUAGAAAUUAUAAAACAAAUAGUAACCGAUUAGUUUUUUUUUAUGACAGGGAGGAAGAGGAGGACGCCUCCCUCCUCACGACUGGAGGAGAUUGAGGAGCUCCUCUGUCAGGCCCUGAGGAGGCAGCAGACUCCCCCUCCACCACCACCACCACCCACAUCUCGCUAUCCCGAGGAGGAGCAUUUCCUCCUAAGCCUGGCUCCUUCCCUCGCGAGGCUGUCACCCCAGGCUAAG